UCCCUCCCUCCCCGCACCCUUCCCGCUCCGGCGCACACCCAAACUUCUCCCAGCCCGCCCCCCCGCUCCCCGCCCGCCUCCCGCACCCUAAAACCCAGCCGGGGCUUUGACGGCUGUUUUCGCGCUGUUUCCAAACCCGGAGCGAUGGAGGAGAGAGGACAGAAAGAACCGGUAGCUCUUUAGGACACACUCCUUCCAGCGACGAGAGGUCACGCUACAAGUUUGCAUGACAGCAGGGAUGGGAAGAGAGUCUUUUUUGUUAGCACCAUGACUUUUUUCUAAUUUUGUUCCUUUUUUUUUUUUUUUUUUUUUUUUUUUUUUUCUCUCCUCUCUUUCCCCCUGCUGUUGGCCGGCUGGUUGGUUUGGACGAAAGUUACACAAAAUGGCAGUGCCUCCCAAAAAGAAGACUCGGAAGAAACUGUUCUUCAGAAGUUAGCUGGACGAAAACACCUUAGAAAACUCGACCUUUCGAUGCAUUUUUUUUUUUAAGUUUCCAAAGAAAUGCGCGCUUUCCUUUUUCUCUCGGAAAAGGUAGCCAUUGCUCUUCUUUAGACUAGACAUUUCUAAUUUGUUCCGACUGUCAGAAUGGGACUAUGAGAGGUUUUUGGUGCAAAUUCAUUAUCUCUGGCAACGCAUAACGUAUAGUAGGAACUGAAAAAGACCGUGGCAAUGGAUGAACAAUAGGGCUUCAGUUCAUCAGCAACAAAAGCGUUGGGGAAAUUGGUUGAAUUUCAGAGCACGUCCUCCUCAGCAGAGAGGGCUGGACUAGACCUUGGCCAACCCCCCCAAAAAACUUGCAGAGCUUCACAUACAACACUUCACUUUCUACUCCGGGGCGUAGGAAGAAAUAUGGAAAAAAAAAAAAAAAAAAAAGCGAAAUAAAAAAAAAAAAAAGCCAAACCCAAGCCAACUUUCUGCGUUUCUUUCUCGUUUUCCUGGAUGGAAGAUUUCUAACUCUUUCAGGGCCUUUCGCGCAAGAAGGACACCGUGGAGCUAAGCGGCACUUUUAAAUAGGGAUGGCGAGGGGAAAGACGUGAAUUUCUGGAGACGUGAAAAAGCUUUCUCUGCUCCGAGGGGGCUUGGCUGUGGGAAUCUUUGUUUGCCACCGGGGGCUCAGCUCAACUCCUAGAUCUGGGGUCAAAUCUUUCUCUGAUAAAGACGAAGAAAUAUUUAGACAACGCAGACAAACCACAGAGAGUGACAAUCACAAGAAACGAUGUGGACAGAAAUGGAUUAUUGCAACAAGGCUUGUAGAGUUCUGAACCUGCUGCUCUAAAAUGCUGAGAUCUGAAACUUAAUUAAGCACUGUAUGGCUAGUGACCUAUCUUUCCGAGGAGAAUGGCCAAGAUGUCUGUUUGGAAUUAUUCCUGGAAUUAGACCAGCAUGAGGUCUCCUCUACCAAUCUGAGUUAGAGAGGAGUCUGUCUUUUUUGGGGACUGCAGGGAAGAACACUAUACCUGUUGCCACUUAGAGGCAGGGGAAAUUAAGUUUCGGACUGAUUCUUGACUCUUGAUGUACAUUUAGCAGGAGGCCAAGACGAAUCAGAAUAAACAUCCAGAAGAAAAUGCCAAAUACAAGAACAGCAACUUAAUAUGAUUUAAAACCAAUAAAGUGGUUGAGAUGAGGUAUCUUAGCUGAAUUCCAUAAAAGCACUUAAGAGGGAUUACUGAAUACUGGGAAACACAUCUGCAGUUCUGAAUGGUUUGGAAACAAAAUAUGUUAUCAACAAAAAGAAAACUUGGUCUUUAUCUGCAUCUUGGAAUAUUCUGAAGGCAGUAAUUGUUGAUAAACUGUACAGUGAGAUGUGCAGUUUACGCUGCUUUGGGGGCAAGUAGAGUUUUGCUUUUUGGCAGCACGUGGCAUAACAAAAGAAUCCUUGAGAGGAGGUACCACCAGAAUGUAAAAUAAGUAAAAAUCUGACCCUCAGUUUAUUUCUAAUUUUUCAUCAAGGAUUCAUCAAUCAUCUCCAGCAUCUGAGCAAGUGUAAUAAGGCGUGUUUAGCAAAUGCACUGUUUUUAGUGCAUGCAAUUUUGCAAGGUGUGUGCUUCUUCAUUCUGGAGUACAAAUUCUUGAAUCCUGAAGCUAGAGCUGUGCGGGGAGAACCUGGAGAGUGCUCACAGACUGCUAAUUUAAGUGCACCUCCAGGAUAUGCAUUAACUUGUGCACUAACCAAUGCAGUGGACGGAGUACUUCAAGGAGGAGGAGCAAGUGGAAGAUGAAAAAGAUUCAAAAUACUCUCAAGAUGCAUGCACAACCACUUCACCAAAAUAUUAAUUUAUUUGAUUGUUUACUGACUUAUUUAUUUAUUUAUUUAUUUUAGAUGGUAUUUAACAGUAACUUUUACUUGGGCCCUUUCAUUACGUACCUAUUGCACCAUGUACAGGAAAUGCAGCUCUUCUGUUGCAUCGCUUACUUUCUGGAUUGCUUACUUUCAGCACCAUGGGCCCAGGUGGAUAAAUAAGUUAAUAACACUGUUUCAUCCUAAACAUAUGCAAACUUCAAAACCAGACUGAUUUACAGCCAGCCAUAAUUUUGAAAUGGAAGUCAAGAGAGAAAAGCUGUGAUCAGUACCUAAAGCAUAGGGUUUCCUAUUUUAUAAUAUUUAUAAAUUAUCUUCAGAUUAAAAUCUGGUUUAUUUCUAUGCAAUGUGGUUAUGUAUAUCUCGUUCCUUAAGGUUUCUUAGAGAGCUAUCUAUUUUCAUCAGACUCUAUGAAAUUACUGUUUUUUCAAAACUUCUUGCUUUAUCCUUGUGUUUCUUAUGCUUGGCAAUAACAUUAUAGUUCUAUAUUAAACAAAAGACAAAAUUAAAUGAAAAAAACCUUUAAAACAGUGUCAAAUAAAAAAAUCAAAUGUAUUUUUAUUGUUAUUUUACAUUAAUUUUAUAAGUAUAGAGUUUAGCUUUUUAGAAAUCAUGUAGAUCCCUUGCAGACAAAAUCUUUGUUGAAAUUGCAUGAAACAAAGGUUAUAAACCUGAGCUGUGAUAUUAGCUCUGUGUGUGUGUGUGUGGUAGUGAGUGACAGCCCCCAACCAUUUUUCAUGACGUCAUGCUAGUUAUUCAGAACACUUUUUCCACCAAUACAGCUUAACAUUUGAUGUAAUUUAUGUACAUGUCUUUCCCAAUUUUCUAAUAAAAUAAACAGCUCAUACUGCUUA